rnacentral:rRNA from 1 species
GACAGAGGGUGCAAACGUUGCUCGGAAUCACUGGGCGUAAAGGGCGUGUAGGCGGGAAUGUAAGUCGGGCGUGAAAUCCCUAGGCUCAACCUAGGAACUGCACUCGAAACUGCGUUUCUUGAGUAUCGGAGAGGAAAGCGGAAUACCUGGUGUAGAGGUGAAAUUCGUAGAUAUCAGGUGGAACACCAGUGGCGAAGGCGGUGGUCUGGGCCGGCACUGACGCUGAGGAGCGAAAGCGUGGGGAGCGAACAGG